GGAAUUGAACUCAGGACCUCAGGAAGAGCAAUUGGUGCUCUUAACCACUAAACCAUCUCUCCAGCCGUAUCCUUUAAUUUUUAAUACUCAUUAUUAUAGUUUACAGUGCUGGGGGCUGAACAUAGGGUCUUAGGGAUGAUAGGCAAGCACUCUCCUACUAAGACAUACACCUCCAAGUCUUCAAAUGGGAUUUUGAGAACAAUUUACAUUCACAUAGUAGUGUUUUCAAAAAGCACCCCCCCCCGCCCCCCCGCCAAUGCAGUUGGUAACACAUGCCUUUGAUCCCAGCACUUAGGAGGCAGAGACAGAUGGAUCUCUGUGAGUUCCAGGACAGCCAAUGCUAUACAGAGAGACCCCCACCCAUCUCAAAAGCAGCAUGCCCUCAACACCUUCAAGCAAAUUUCUGUCUAGAGAAGAACAGGCCUUUUAAAAAAAAAGAAGGCAGCAAUAUUUUUUCCGGAAUGGUGUUGCAAGGAAGGAACACUGGACACUUUGGAAAGGCCUCCAAUUGUACCAGAAACUGACAAAAGUGGAGGAAUGUGGAGGAAUGAGGAAGCAGAGGUACAAACAUUUGGCAGCUACCAUGAAAUAAAAACAAGGUCAUGAGCA